rnacentral:rRNA from 1 species
GGCGAACGCUGGCGGCAGGCCUAACACAUGCAAGUCGAACGGAUCCUUCGGGAUUAGUGGCGGACGGGUGAGUAACACGUGGGAACGUGCCCUUUGGUUCGGAACAACUCAGGGAAACUUGAGCUAAUACCGGAUGUGCCCUUCGGGGGAAAGAUUUAUCGCCAUUGGAGCGGCCCGCGUCUGAUUAGCUAGUUGGUGAGGUAACGGCCCACCAAGGCGACGAUCAGUAGCUGGUCUGAGAGGAUGAUCAGCCACACUGGGACUGAGACACGGCCCAGACUCCUACGGGAGGCAGCAGUGGGGAAUCGUGCGCAAUGGGCGAAAGCCUGACGCAGCCAUGCCGCGUGAAUGAUGAAGGUCUUAGGAUUGUAAAAUUCUUUCAGCGGGGACGAUAAUGACGGUACCCGCAGAAGAAGCUCCGGCUAACUUCGUG